ACGUCACUGAUGAGUCCUAGGUAGACGAAACGCGCGUCUGGCGU
rnacentral:hammerhead_ribozyme from 1 species